rnacentral:rRNA from 1 species
CAGUCGCCACGGUAAUACGUAGGGGGCAAGCGUUGUCCGGAAUCAUUGGGCGUAAAGAGCGUGUAGGCGGCUCGGUAAGUCCGCUGUGAAAGUCCAGGGCUCAACCCUGGAAUGCCGGUGGAAACUGUCGAGCUAGAGUCCGGAAGAGGCGAGUGGAAUUCCUGGUGUAGCGGUGAAAUGCGCAGAUAUCAGGAGGAACGCCAAUGGCGAAGGCAGCUCGCUGGGACGGUACUGACGCUGAGACGCGAAAGCGUGGGGAGCAAACAGGAUUAGAUACCCGAGUAGUCCCUGUCUCUUAUAC